rnacentral:rRNA from 1 species
UACGGAGGGGGCUAGCGUUGUUCGGAAUUACUGGGCGUAAAGGCUCGUAGGCGGCCAACUAAGUCAUACGUGAAAUCCCUCGGCUUAACCGGGGAACUGCGUCUGAUACUGGAUGGCUUGAGUUCGGGAGAGGGAUGCGGAAUUCCAGGUGUAGCGGUGAAAUGCGUAGAUAUCUGGAGGAACACCGGUGGCGAAGGCGGCAUCCUGGACCGAUACUGACGCUGAGGCGCGAAAGCAUGGGGAGCGAACAGG